AGAGUGAACGCUGGCGGUAGGCCUAACACAUGCAAGUCGAACGGCAGCACAGUGGUAGCAAUACCAUGGGUGGCGAGUGGCGGACGGGUGAGGAAUACAUCGGAAUCUACCUUUUCGUGGGGGAUAACGUAGGGAAACUUACGCUAAUACCGCAUACGCCCUUCGGGGGAAAGCCGGGGAUCGCAAGACCUGGCGCGGAUAGAUGAGCCGAUGUCGGAUUAGCUAGUUGGUGAGGUAAUGGCUCACCAAGGCGACGAUCCGUAGCUGGUCUGAGAGGAUGAUCAGCCACACUGGAACUGAGACACGGUACCAG
rnacentral:rRNA from 1 species